GUUUUGUUACACCCGAGGCCAAACAGAAGAUGUUCCAAUAUAAAUUUAUCGUCCUUUGUUUCCUCGCUUCUUUUGUUCUAUUGGCUUUAUGCCUCGAGCAAGAAGCUUCAGUAAGUCAAGAACUGAAUCACGAAACCUCUUUCGACCUCAGAGAAUUACGGAGAAGAAAGUUUCCUAAGCGAAGCUAUAACCAAAUGUGUAAAAGACUUCGCUGGGUCAGGUUUCGGAACUGUUCUUCACGUUAAGUUGUAUCAGGCGUUAUUGACCAAGUCGACCAGAGUCCACUAGUCAGUAUUCCGGAUAAUUCUUUGAAAAUAUUCAAAACUCAAGAUUUGCUUAGGUGUCAUUGCGAAGAAAUUAUAAACCUUUGAUAAACUUCAAGUAAUUACAAUUGAUGUAGAGAAAAUAUAAUUAGUUUACCUGAA